AGAAGUUAAGAAACUGUUUCUUAACUUUUAACUAAAAAAACUAAGAACCGAUUCUUAACUUUAAGAACCGGUUCUUAGUUCUUUUAGUUAAAAGUUAAGAAACAGUUUCUUAAUUUCC
rfam:Brassica oleracea var. oleracea cultivar TO1000 chromosome C7, whole genome shotgun sequence